rnacentral:rRNA from 1 species
UACGUAGGGGGCGAGCGUUGUCCGGAGUUACUGGGCGUAAAGGGCAUGCAGGCGGUCGGUCGCGUUUUGUGUGACAGCGGGUGGCUCAACUACCCGAGCAUGCGAAAGACGGUCGGACUUGAGGACUCGAGAGGGACACGGAAUUCCGGGUGGAGUGGUGAAAUGCGUAGAGAUCCGGAGGAACACCGAAGGCGAAGGCAGUGUCCUGGCGAGUGACUGACGCUGAGGUGCGAAAGCCAGGGGAGCGAACGGG